GCCUGGGUGGCUCAGUGGUUGAGCAUCUGCCUUCGGCUCAGGGUGUGAUCCUCGGGUCGUGGGAUCGAGUCCCACAUCAGCUU
rnacentral:tRNA from 1 species